UACCUAGUGGUCCAGUGGCUAAGACACUGCUCUCCCAAUGCUGGGGUCCCAGGUUCAAUCCCUGGUCAGGGAA
rfam:TPA: Bos taurus chromosome 6, whole genome shotgun sequence.